UACGUAGGGACCAAGCGUUGUUCGGAUUUACUGGGCGUAAAGGGCGCGUAGGCGGCGCGGUAAGUCACUUGUGAAAUCUCUGAGCUUAACUCAGAACGGCCAAGUGAUACUGCAGUGCUAGAGUGUGGAAGGGGCAAUCGGAAUUCUUGGUGUAGCGGUGAAAUGCGUAGAUAUCUGGAGGAACACCGGUGGCGAAGGCGGCACCCUGGACCAAUACUGACACUGAGGAGCGAAAGCCAGGGGAGCAAACGGG
rnacentral:rRNA from 1 species